GACGAACGCUGGCGGCGUGCUUAACACAUGCAAGUCGAACGGAAAGGCCCUGCUUUUGUGGGGUGCUCGAGUGGCGAACGGGUGAGUAACACGGGAGUAACCUGCCCUUGACUUUGGGAUAACUUCAGGAAACUGGGGCUAAUACCGGAUAGGAGCUCCUGCUGCAUGGUGGGGGUUGGAAAGUUUCGGCGGUUGGGGAUGGACUCGCGGCUUAUCAGCUUGUUGGUGGGGUAGUGGCUUACCAAGGCUUUGACGGGUAGCCGGCCUGAGAGGGUGACCGGCCACAUUGGGACUGAGAUACGGCACAGACUGCGACGGGAGGCAGAAGUGGGGAAUAUUGCACCAGGGGCGGAAGCCUGAUGCAGAAACGCCGCGGGCGGGAUGACGGCCUUAGGGUUGAAAACCGAUUUCGCCUGUGACGAAGCGUGAGUGACGGUAAUGGGUAAAGAAGCACCGGCUAAAUACGUGC
rnacentral:rRNA from 1 species